UACGUAGGGUGCAGGCGUUAAUCGGAAUUACUGGGCGUAAAGCGUGCGCAGGCGGUUUUGUAAGCCAGGUGUGAAAUCCCCGGGCUCAACCUGGGAAUGGCAUUUGGGACUGCAAGGCUGGAGUGCGGCAGAGGAGACUGGAAUUCCUGGUGUAGCAGUGAAAUGCGUAGAUAUCAGGAGGAACACCGGUGGCGAAGGCGGCUUUCUGGACAGUAACUGACGCUGAGGCGCGAAAGCCGGGGGAGCAAACAGG
rnacentral:rRNA from 1 species